rnacentral:rRNA from 1 species
CCUACGGGAGGCUGCAGUGGGGAAUAUUGCACAAUGGGCGCAAGCCUGAUGCAGCGACGCCGCGUGAGGGAUGACGGCCUUCGGGUUGUAAACCUCCUUCAGUAGGGACGAAGCGGAAGUGACGGUACCUACAGAAGAAGCACCGGCCAACUACGUGCCAGCAGCCGCGGUAAUACGUAGGGGGCAAGCGUUAUCCGGAAUCACUGGGUGUAAAGGGUGCGUAGGCGGUAGGGCAAGUCAGAUGUGAAAGCCCGGGGCUCAACCCCGGGAUUGCAUUUGAAACUGUCUUACUAGAGUGCAGGAGAGGAAAGCGGAAUUCCUAGUGUAGCGGUGAAAUGCGUAGAUAUUAGGAAGAACACCAGUGGCGAAGGCGGCUUUCUGGACUGUAACUGACGCUGAGGCACGAAAGCGUGGGGAGCGAACAGGAUUAGAUACCCCAGUAGUC